UACGUAGGGCGCAAGCGUUGUCCGGAUUUACUGGGCGUAAAGGAGCGUGUAGGCGGCCAAACAGGUCCGUUGUGAAAACUGGAGGCUCAACCUCCAGACGUCGACGGAAACCGUGUGGCUAGAGUCCGGAAGAGGAGAGUGGAAUCCUGGUGUAGCGGUGAAAUGCGCAGAUAUCAGGAGGAACACCGGUGGCGAAGGCGGGUCUCUGGGCCGAUAUUGACGCUGAGGAGCGAAAGCGUGGGGAGCGAACAGG
rnacentral:rRNA from 1 species